rnacentral:rRNA from 1 species
GACGAACGCUGGCGGCGCGCUUAACACAUGCAAGUCGAGCGAAGCGGCGGACGGGUGAGUAACACGUGAGUAACCUGCCUUAGACAUUGGGAUAGCCUCGGGAAACCGGGAUUAAUACCAAAUGGUCUAAGAUGGACUCGCGUCCCUUUAGCUAGCUGGUGGGGUAACGGCCCACAAAGGCGACGAUGGGUAGCCGGCCUGAGAGGGUGGACGGCCACAUUGGAACUGAGAACCGGUCCAAACUCAACGGGAGGCAGCAGAGGGGAAGAUUGCACAAUGGGGGGAACUCUGAUGCGUCGACGCGGCGUGAACGAAGAAGGCUUUCGAGUCGUAAAGUACUGUUAUAUGGGAAGCGGUACCAUAAGAAAAGGCCCCGGCUAACUACGUGCCAGCAGCCGCGGUAAUAC